rnacentral:lncRNA from 1 species
CCUAUUUUACCACCUUAGAAUUUCCGUAUCAGCCUUGAAGGGUAAUCAGGCUAAGUGCAUUUUUUUUCAGUGAGGAAUUUUAAGAAGAAUAUAAAAGCUGAAGAGUCAUAAUAUGCUAUUCUUUGUAUACGAAAAUGGCAGUCCUGACCUGCUAUUAGUCGGGGCACUUAUGGCUGUGGUAGAUUUUUUUGGGUCCAUCUGCCUUUCCUUCCAGGCACCCCAGGCUUCUCAGGACGAAAAGCGUAAUCGGUGACCUCAGAACAGAGCAACGCUAAUGAGGAUGACCCUGACCUCGGGAGAAUAGUGUUCUGACCCUC